GUGCUCGCUUCAGCAGCACAUAUAUAGAAAUUGGAAUGAUACAGAGAAUGGCCCCUGUGCAAGGAUGGCACACAAAUUUGUGAAGCAUUCCAUUAUUUU
rnacentral:snRNA from 1 species